rnacentral:rRNA from 1 species
AGGUUGAAACUCAANNGAAUUGACGGGGGCCCGCACAAGCGGUGGAGCAUGUGGUUUAAUUCGAAGCAACGCGAAGAACCUUACCAGGUCUUGACAUCCCGAUGCCCGCUCUAGAGAUAGAGUUUUACUUUUUGUACAUCGGAGACAGGUGGUGCAUGGUUGUCGUCAGCUCGUGUCGUGAGAUGUUGGGUUAAGUCCCGCAACGAGCGCAACCCUUAUUGUUAGUUGCCAUCAUUAAGUUGGGCACUCUAGCGAGACUGCCGGUAAUAAACCGGAGGAAGGUGGGGAUGACGUCAAAUCAUCAUGCCCCUUAUGACCUGGGCUACACACGUGCUACAAUGGUUGGUACAACGAGUCGCAAGCCGGUGACGGCAAGCUAAUCUCUGAAAGCCAAUCUCAGUUCGGAUUGUAGGCUGCAACUCGCCUACAUGAAGUCGGAAUCGCUAGUAAUCGCGGAUCAGCACGCCGCGGUGAAUACGUUCCCGGGCCUUGUACACA